GCCGCCAUGGUGAAAUUGGUAGACACGCUGCUCUUAGGAAGCAGUGCUCAAGCAUCUUCGGUUCGAAUCCGAGUGGCGGCA
rfam:Zea mays complete chloroplast genome